AUUGAACGCUGGCGGCAUGCCUUACACAUGCAAGUCGAACGGCAGCGGGGGGCUUCGGUCCGCCGGCGAGUGGCGAACGGGUGAGUAAUAUAUCGGAACGUACCUUUUCAGUGGGGGAUAACGUAGCGAAAGUUACGCUAAUACCGCAUAUUCUGUGAGCAGGAAAGCAGGGGACCUUCGGGCCUUGCGCUGAUUGAGCGGCCGAUAUCAGAUUAGCUAGUUGGUGGGGUAAAGGCCUACCAAGGCAACGAUCUGUAGCGGGUCUGAGAGGAUGAUCCGCCACACUGGAACUGAGACACGGUCCAGACUCCUACGGGAGGCAGCAGUGGGGAAUUUUGGACAAUGGGCGCAAGCCUGAUCCAGCCAUCGCCGCGUGAGUGAAG
rnacentral:rRNA from 1 species